UACGUAGGUGUCAAGCGUUGUCCGGAUUUAUUGGGCGUAAAGCGCCCGCAGGCGGCUUGCCAAGUUCGAUGUGAAAUCUCCCGGCUCAACUGGGAGGGUGCAUCGAAAACUGGCAGGCUUGAGGCAGGGAGAGGGAUGUGGAAUUCCAGGUGUAGUGGUGAAAUGCGCAGAUAUCAGGAGGAACACCGGUGGCGAAGGCGGGUCUCUGGGCCGUAACUGACGCUGAGGAGCGAAAGCAUGGGGAGCGAACAGG
rnacentral:rRNA from 1 species